UAAGCACUCCGCCUGGGGAGUACGACCGCAAGGUUGAAACUCAAAGGAAUUGACGGGGGCCCGCACAAGCGGUGGAGCAUGUGGUUUAAUUCGAAGCAACGCGAAGAACCUUACCAGGUCUUGACAUCCUUUGACCACUCUGGAGACAGAGCUUUCCCUUCGGGGACAAAGUGACAGGUGGUGCAUGGUUGUCGUCAGCUCGUGUCGUGAGAUGUUGGGUUAAGUCCCGCAACGAGCGCAACCCUUGAUUUUAGUUGCCAGCAUUUAGUUGGGCACUCUAAAGUGACUGCCGGUGCAAGCCGGAGGAAGGUGGGGAUGACGUCAAAUCAUCAUGCCCCUUAUGACCUGGGCUACACACGUGCUACAAUGGAUAGUACAAAGGGUCGCGAAGCCGCGAGGUGGAGCUAAUCCCAUAAAACUAUUCUCAGUUCGGAUUGUAGGCUGCAACUCGCCUACAUGAAGCCGGAAUCGCUAGUAAUCGUGGAUCAGCAUGCCACGGUGAAUACGUUCCCGGGCCUUGUACACACCGCCCGUCACACCACGAGAGUUUGUAACACCCGAAGUCGGUAGGGUAACCUUUAUGGAGCCAGCCGCCGAAGGUGGGACAGAUAAUUGGGGUGAAGUCGUAACAAGGUAGCCG
rnacentral:rRNA from 1 species